AUUGUUUCGAACGGCAGCUUUUUUCACAAAGAGCUGACGGAUCGGUAGUGAGGGUCUUGCCAUUCAUCGUGGCUCCCUCGAAAUACAUUAGCGCAUCCAUUUGAUAGGCAAGACGGACGAAGGCUCACUCUUUCGUCCUUUUCUUCCAUGCCGGGUUUUGAUAAUAUCAGGACUUCGGAGCGGUCGAAGAGGGCACGAGCUGGACGCAACGACUUGCUGGUUGGAUUGCUUCUGAACCCCGCCCUUUUUGUAGAAAUUGGGAUUUAUAAUU
rnacentral:misc_RNA from 1 species